AGUGGCGGACGAGUGAGUAACGCGUAAGAAUCUAACUUCAGGACGGGGACAACAGUGGGAAACGACUGCUAAUACCCGAUGUGCCGCAAGGUGAAACCUAAUUGGCCUGGAGAAGAGCUUGCGUCUGAUUAGCUAGUUGGUGGGGUAAAGGCCUACCAAGGCGACGAUCAGUAGCUGGUCUGAGAGGAUGAGCAGCCACACUGGGACAGAGACACGGCCCAGACUCCUACGGGAGGCAGCAGUGGGGAAUUUUCCGCAAUGGGCGAAAGCCUGACGGAGCAACGCCGCGUGAGGGAGGAAGGUCUUUGGAUUGUAAACCUCUUUUCUCAAGGAAGAAGUUCUGACGGUACUUGAGGAAUCAGCCUCGGCUAACUCCGUGCCAGCAGCCGCGGUAAUACGGGGGAGGCAAGCGUUAUCCGGAAUUAUUGGGCGUAAAGCGUCCGCAGGUGGUCAGCCAAGUCUGCCGUCAAAUCAGGUUGCUUAACGACCUAAAGGCGGUGGAAACUGGCAGACUAGAGAGCAGUAGGGGUAGCAGGAAUUCCCAGUGUAGCGGUGAAAUGCGUAGAGAUUGGGAAGAACAUCGGUGGCGAAAGCGUGCUACUGGGCUGUAUCUGACACUCAGGGACGAAAGCUAGGGGAGCGAAAGGGAUUAGAUACCCCUGUAGUCCUAGCCGUAAACGAUGGAUACUAGGCGUGGCUU
rnacentral:rRNA from 1 species